rnacentral:misc_RNA from 1 species
GAUGAAGAACGCAGCGAAAUGCGAUAAGUAAUGCGAAUUGCAGAAUCCGUGAGUCAUCGAAUCUUUGAACGCACAUUGCGCCCGCCAGUAUUCUGGCGGGCAUGCCUGUUCGAGCGUCAUUUCAACCCUCAAGCCCCCGGGCUUGGUGUUGGGGAUCGGCGUGCCCUCGCGGCGCGCCGUCCCCUAAAUCUAGUGGCGGUCUCGCUGUAGCUUCCUCUGCGUAGUAGCAACACUCGCACUGGAUCGCAGCGCGGCCACGCCGUUAAACCCCCCACUUCUGAAAGUUUGACCUCGGAUCAGGUAGGAAUACCCGCUGAACUUAAGCAUAUCAAUAAGCGGAGGA